GACGAACGCUGGCGGCGUGCCUAAUACAUGCAAGUCGAGCGAGCUUGCCUAGAUGAAUUUGGUGCUUGCACCAGAUGAAACUAGAUACAAGCGAGCGGCGGACGGGUGAGUAACACGUGGGUAACCUGCCCAAGAGACUGGGAUAACACCUGGAAAUAGUUGCUAAUACCGGAUAACAACACUAGACGCAUGUCUAGAGUUUAAUAGAUGGUUCUGCUAUCACUCUUGGAUGGACCUGCGGUGCAUUAGCUAGUUGGUAAGGCAACGGCUUACCAAGGCAAUGAUGGAUAGCCGAGUGGGGAGACUGAUCGGCCACAUUGGGACUGAGACACGGCCCAAACGCCUACGGGAGGCAGCAGUAGGGAAUCUUCCGCAAUGGACGCAAGUCUGAUGGAGCAACGCCGCGUGAGUGAAGAAGGGUUUCGGCUCGUAAAGCUCUGUUGGUAGUGAAGAAAGAUAGAGGUAGUAACUGGCCUUUAUUUGACGGUAAUUAGUUAGAAAGUCACGGCUAACUACGUG
rnacentral:rRNA from 1 species